GACGAACGCUGGCGGCGUGCUUAACACAUGCAAGUCGAGCGAGUGAGUUCUUCGGAACGAUCUAGCGGCGGACGGGUGAGUAACACGUGGGCAACCUGCCUCAUAGAGGGGAAUAGCCUCCCGAAAGGGAGAUUAAUACCGCAUAAAAUUAUCGAGUGGCAUCACAUGAUAAUCAAAGGAGUAAUCCGCCAUGAGAUGGGCCCGCGGCGCAUUAGCUAGUUGGUGAGGUAACGGCCUACCAAGGCGACGAUGCGUAGCCGACCUGGGAGGGUGAUCUGCGAAAUUGGGACUGAGAAAGGGACCAGACUCCUACGGCAGGCAGCAGUGGGGAAUAUUGCACAAUGGGGGAUACCCUGAUGCAGCAACGCCGCGUGACUGAUGAAGGUCGUCGGAUUGUAGAGCUCUGUCUUUGGGGCCGAUGAUGACGGUACCCAAGGAGGAAGCCACGGCUAACUACGUGCCAGCAGCCGCGGUAA
rnacentral:rRNA from 1 species